rnacentral:lncRNA from 1 species
CGUCAUACCUCUAACCGAGGUCAUAAAGGGCAGAGCUGCCUCAACCUCUCCUAUGGCUCUCAGUGAUGCCUCAAGAUCACUCUCUUUCUAGUGCUGACAAGAUGCAUACUGGUCCUGAGAUACCCUCACCUAUUCUGAAUUGCUCAGCAAGUGAUAUAGUGGGAGACUCAAUCUGUGCCAUAAUCUCAUUAGAUUAUGAUAGUAUGUUAACUGUGUGUGAAAGGCUAAGUGGAAAAUUACUUCCAAAGACACUUCGACAGUUUAUCUGGACUGAUAAACUUCUAAAAGCGGAUGCAAAAGUUGACAAGUUGAAAGAAUAAUUGGCUGAAGUUGGAGCAUUGGAGACAUACAGACACUGGAGCAUGAGGAGGAAAUCAGGCCAUGGAGCCUGUCUGUAGCUGCUUGCGUAGCUCUGGAGCAGCCUUGGCCUCUGCCUCUGGCUCUGCAUGUAGAGAAGUGCCCCUUCUGGCAACAGCUGAUAACUGGCUCGGUGAUAGAUCUGCUUACCCCACCCAUCUCUUCAACCUCCUCUCUGCCUUGCUCCCAAAACUGAGUGUACAGAGGGCUGCUGAGGAUCUGGGCAGGUGAACUGGCAGGAAACCAGGCAAGUGUCAAAACCUGCCUGAUUUCCAUCAGAAUUUUGUCAAAAUCAUAACAUUUCUGCAGAACAUUUCAAUGUUGUUUAAUUGACAUUUUCCAACAGAAAAAUGUUCUGUUGGAAAAUUUCUAUCCAGGUCUACUUUCAAUACCUCCCAAGUAUUUAAAAAUAAGUCUUUUUCUCUGUUUCUUCCUUCCUAUCAUCUAAGGAAAUAAUUUGAUUAUUUUAUAAAUGUUUUUG